GUACCGUUCUAGGCUUUUUUCUGAGUUUAUGAACAACCUCAACAAACAGAAGCUUUUGGCAUCUUUUGAUUGAAGAAAAACUCAAGAUUUUCAAAUGAUACAAGCACAAUAUAUUUGUAGUAACUGAUAAAAGCAAUAUUGAGAGCAAAAGGGGUGAAGUCAACUUACCUGCGCAAGAGAUGUUUUUCCAGAUUUUGUUAAGGAAAGCCAAAGUUCAAAGCAACAACAAUAUUGAGACUGAGAGUGGAGAUGACUUACCUACGGCGAGGAGAUUUUCGCCGGAUUUAUUGCUGAGGCUUUUGAUGAAGGUGAUGCCAUAACACCUCUCUUUGAAAUUGCUUCAAGACUUGAAGAUGGACUUCAAGUUGGAACUCUCCACCAAGGUAUGAAGAAUUUCUUCUUCACUCUCUUCAAACCAUGGAACUUUGUAACUAGGAAUUCUCACUUCUCAAGUGGUUUUCUUUGGUUUGAAGAAUUGCUUCUUCUUGCCAAGAAACUUGAAAACUAUGAGAGAAAAGAGAGAAGUGAGAAAGCUAGUAGUAUAGUAGCUUUGGUGUCAUUUGCAAUGAAGUGAGGCCUUCUAUUUAUAGGAAAAGUUAAGGAUGUGUUUGGCAUUUGGUAAACUUGAUUGGCAAGUUUCAAUCAUUGCAAGAUAAGAAAAAGAAUAAGAAUAUUCUUUAUGAGAUAUUUCUCUUGCAAGUGGACAUGAAAUAUCUUUGAUUCCUUUUGUCUUGAAUUAUUUCUUUUUUUGAAUUAUUUCUUUUGUUGGAUUUUUACUAAUCUCACCCCUUUUUGUUUCUUUUUUCAUGUGACAUGAUCAUUCUUG